rnacentral:lncRNA from 1 species
UUUUACUAAUUACCUUGAGGUAGAACCAGAGCAACAAUUACAAUUCCCAGGAAAAAAAAUUGAUUGAAAUGGAAAGUCAUUACAACAGUGUUUUUCAAAGAAAGGUGUUUCUCUGCGUGAUUUAGAAAUACUUGAUCACAGUUCUCAAAUAUACUAGUGUGAGUGUCUAAAUCUUAGUGCAAAUAGUAAUUCUUAUAGUUGUUUAUAGAUGAGAGUAGUAUCAAUGAAAUUUUAAUUUCAUAAUUUCGUUACUUAAUGUACUUAAUGGUGUUUUAAUUUGUUAAUAUAUUACGUUACAAAUUAAAUAAAUGACAAAAUUCAACCAUUUAAUUCCUACAACAUCUUUUUUCAGUUUUUAGAUAUAUUUAGUUUGUUUUUGUCAAACUUACUAUAAUAUUUGAAAUACAAUUAUCCUUAACAUUUAAUGCAUUUAAUACAGUGAACUUUGUUAAUUCAAAAUUAAUAAUUUUCAACUUGAUAACAAUUUUUUAUCAAAAUAAGUACAUUACAUUAUUGGUAAGAUUUUAUGCAAGUUUGGUUAUAAUUAUAUAAAAUCAUUCAAUUUCUACUAAAUUGAAAAAUAAAUAAAAAUUAUUUAUUUAGUGAUUAAGUUAAAUUAUAGUUUAAAAAAUAAAAAAUUAUUGGUAUUUAAAGUGAUUUAUAUUAUUAAUAAAAAUUUAUUAAGUUGUUUGUAAAAGAAAAUACUUUAUAAUCUUUUAUUAAUAAUAAAAAGUACUUUAAAUACUAACAAUUUUUAUAACUUAUAAAAUUAUAUCUAACUUAAUCAAUAUAGUAAUUAAUAAUAUUUAGUUUAUAAAGUUUGUUUUUAAUUACUUAUUUUCUUCUAUUGUAGAUCUCACACAUUUUAAAUCAUUUAUUUAUACUUUAAAAAUUUAUGAUUUAAAAGAUUAAUAUACUUAUUAAUAAUUAAAUUUUAAUUUAGUUUGUAACCUUACAAAAAAAAGAUAAUAUUAUAAUUUUAAAAAAUGACAUUAUAUCAUUACAAAAAUGUUAAUUAAUAUAAUUAAUUUUUAAUUUAAUAUUAUCAAAGACUAUAAAUAAUAUUUCAACAUAAAUAAAGAAUGUAAUUUAUUUAUUUAUUGUAACUCUUAGAUUAUGUUUGUACAAUUAUUUUCCUUUAUAUUUCGACAAUUAUUUCCCUUUCAACCAUAUCAAAACUAAUAGUUUUUUGUCCCUAAAAUUGUUUUUUUUAAUGAUUUUCUUGUAGUGAUUGUUCAUCUUUGUACUACAAUCACUGUUACACAUGACACCGAGAAACGCAUAAUCUCUAAAAUGUAGGAAAUAUGGACAUAUAUCAAUAUAUUAUAUAAUUGUGAAUUAUAUAAAUUCACAAUGUGCACAAGUAUGUUUCAGUUUUUUUUAGCAAAAAAAUGUUUUUCAAUACUGGUUCAAAAGGAUUUGUUUCUUAUUUUUAUAAUCAUACUAAAAAAUUAUACAUUAAGUUUAAGCUUUUAGAAAAUUAAAACAUAUAUCUCAUUUUUAAAAUUGUGUUAGAAUUGUGCUAUAAUUGUCAGAAAUCCAAUAAAUAAUUUUUAAAUUUGACACUUACCGAUAUCUGUCCUGCGAGUAGUAUUGGUAUUCUAUACAUGCCAAUUGUGAAAAUACAUUAGUUAAGUAUAUGGUGAAUAUAUUUUGGACAAUAUCAAAAUAAAAAUAAGAGUAUUUGUACUAAACGUUUCUCCUGCCCCUUCACCUCCUCUGGAUCUCGCACCUCUGAAUGGACCACGGGAACGCAACUUACAAUCGUAGCUCACGAUCUUACCACAGAAUCAAACGAGGGGAGCGCGCCACAGAAUCGAACUAGGGGAGCAAUCCUCGUAUAUCAUAAACCCUAAAGUGUGCUUUCAAUUCAAAAAUUUGUAAUCCCCAAUUCAAAUCACAAUAACCCUAACCCUAGUUCAUUAUUGAAUAAACUAAUGUAACCAUAAUCCACCUCACUUGACACGUCAGUGCCACAUAAGCACCACUUAACGCCAUAAGCUGAGAAUAAACGGAAAGGACCACUUUGAAUACAUUUUAAAGAACUUAGGGACCAAAUUGAUUUUUUAAAAAACCACUAUACUAGAUUGAAUAUUGGCUAGAAAUGUAAGACGAAUAAGGUAAUUAAACCUAUUUUUAAAAUAUUAUUCACUCUAAAACGAGAUUGACUUGUUUGAAUAACAAAUUCAUAUAUCUUAUUUUAAAGUAAUUUAUUGAAGAUAAUAUUAACCAAUUCUCUUUCUAUACAACUAAACAUGAAAAACAUGUAAGUUAAAUAUAAAAUAUAAGAAAAUGACAACAAUUAUGAUUUUUUUAUUACAUUAUAUUUUCUAUCUCAUAUUAUCUAUGAAAUUGUAAUUCUUUUUCUAAUAAUUCCUUAUCUUGCAAAUUUAUUUAUGUUUACUAAUUUUUAACAAAAAUGCUAGCCCAAACUUUUAUUGUUAUUGGAAUAAAAUGAUAAUUAAAAACAUAUCAAUUUUAUUAAAUUUUUAUCAUAAAAUAUGAAUGGAUGCAUUACAAGUUUAAUCCUCACAUUUACAAAAAUAAUAAUAGACUUUUUUGACACAUGUUCCACUCUUAUGGUUUUGUCCCUUGCAACAUAUAUCACAAAAAUCUGCACCAAAACUGCAUUUUAAUGUAUUGCAAUCUGCUGGUGGUGAAUCACUUUGUGUUGUUAGUGGUGCUCCAAUAACGGGUUCUGCAACGAUCACUUCUGUCACAAAGAAACAAGUUCACAUGUUUUGUAAAUAAAUUUAUUUCAUUUAUUAUCUAAGUUUUCAACAUAUAAAAUGGAUANNNNNNNNNNNNNNNNNNNNNNNNNNNNNNNNNNNNNNNNNNNNNNNNNNNNNNNNNNNNNNNNNNNNNNNNNNNNNNNNNNNNNNNNNNNNNNNNNNNNAUAUGUUAUAAACAAACUAAAAUAUGAAAUCAUUUUACUAAUUACCUUGAGGUAGAACCAGAGCAACAAUUACAAUUUCCAGGAAAAAAAAUUGAUUGAAAUGGAAAGUCAUUACAACAGUGUUUUUCAAAGAAAGGUGUUUCUCUGCGUGAUUUAGAAAUACUUGAUCACAGUUCUCAAAUAUACUAGUGUGAGUGUCUAAAUCUUAGUGCAAAUAGUAAUUCUUAUAGUUGUUUCUAG